GUGGGGAAUAUUGCACAAUGGGGGAAACCCUGAUGCAGCGACGCCGCGUGAGCGAAGAAGUAUUUCGGUAUGUAAAGCUCUAUCAGCAGGGAAGAUAAUGACGGUACCUGACUAAGAAGCCCCGGCUAACUACGUGCCAGCAGCCGCGGUAAUACGUAGGGGGCAAGCGUUAUCCGGAUUUACUGGGUGUAAAGGGAGCGUAGACGGCAAGGCAAGUCUGAUGUGAAAACCCAGGGCUUAACCCUGGGACUGCAUUGGAAACUGUCUGGCUCGAGUGCCGGAGAGGUAAGCGGAAUUCCUAGUGUAGCGGUGAAAUGCGUAGAUAUUAGGAAGAACACCAGUGGCGAAGGCGGCUUACUGGACGGUAACUGACGUUGAGGCUCGAAAGCGUGGGGAGCAAACAGGAUUAGAAACCCGUGUAGUCC
rnacentral:rRNA from 1 species